GACGAACGCUGGCGGCGUGCUUAACACAUGCAACUCGAACGGAAAGGCCCUGCUUUUGUGGGGUGCUCGAGUGGCGAACGGGUGAGUAACACGUGAGUAACCUGCCCUUGACUUUGGGAUAACUUCAGGAAACUGGGGCUAAUACCGGAUAGGAGCUCCUGCUGCAUGGUGGGGGUUGGAAAGUUUCGGCGGUUGGGGAUGGACUCGCGGCUUAUCAGCUUGUUGGUGGGGUAGUGGCUUACCAAGGCUUUGACGGGUAGCCGGCCUGAGAGGGUGACCGGCCACAUUGGGACUGAGAUACGGCCCAGACUCCUACGGGAGGCAGCAGUGGUGAAUAUUGCACAAUGGGCGGAAGCCUGAUGCAGCAACGCCGCGUGCGGGAUGACGGCCUUCGGGUUGUAAACCGCUUUCGCCUGUGACGAAGCGUGAGUGACGGUAAUGGGUAAAGAAGCACCGGCUAACUACGUG
rnacentral:rRNA from 1 species